rnacentral:rRNA from 1 species
AGGAUGGGACUGCGGCGGAUUAGGUCGUUGUUAGUGUAAAUGACUAACAAGCCUGUAAUCCGUACGGGUCGUGAGAGCGAUAGCCCGGAGAUGGUCUCUGAGACAUGAAACCAGGCCCUACGGGGCGCAGCAGGCGCGAAAACUUCGCAAUGGACGAAAGUCUGACGAGGGAAUCCUGAGUGACAUCGCAUUGCGGUGUCUUUUAUCUACUGUAAAAAGGUAGAUGAAUAAGUGGUGGGUAAGACGGUUGCCAGCCGCCGCGGUAAUAACCGCGCCACAAGGGGUAAUCACGUUUAUUGGGCCUAAAGCAUCCGUAGCCGGCUCGAUUUGUCUCUGGUGAAAUCCUGCAGCAAACUGUAGGGCGUGCUGGAGAUACUGUCGGGCUUGGAACCGGGAGAGGGUAGGAGUACUAUACGGGUAAGGGUAAAAUCUUUUAAUCCGUAUAGGACUACCUGUGGCGAAGGCGCCUACCUGGAACGGGUUCGACGGUGAGGGAUGAAAGCGUAGGGAGCGAUCGGGAUUAGAUACCCCGGUAGUCUACGCUGUAAACGAUGCCCACUUGGUGUUGCGUACCCUUCGAGGAUAUGCAGUGCCGGAGCGAAGGCGUUAAGUGGGCCGCCUGGGAAGUACGACCGCAAGGUUGAAACUUAAGGGAAUUGGCGGGGGAGCACACAAGAGGUGGAGGCUGCGGUUUAAUUGGAUCAACGCCGG